AUGGUGACCCCAGGCCGGUCCACCCACCCCAGGAACUACAAACAUCAACAGCUACUAUUCUUCACACUGCUCUCCCUGGGAGGACGCUGCUACAUCAGCUCGCCGGAGGGUUCGGUCUACCUUAUGGAGCUGGAGCCGCUACCUCGGCUGGUGGAUGUGGUUGACGAGCGCUGCUUUGCCGAACCAGAUAACAUUUGGCGCGAGCACAUAAUGUCGUUCCUGGUGAGUGACACCGGUGGGAGGAUGCUGAUGGUGAGGUACUGGAGCUGCAUGGAGCGCUUCGGCGGCGUUGAGGCUUACAAUCCAGAGGACCUAUUCACGGGCGCGGCAUCGCCAGCCGCAUUGAGGUUUUGGAGGUGGACAUCGCCGGCAGGAGGCUGGUUCCCGUCAGGAGCCUUGGCCGGCAUGCGGUGUUUAUUGGCCUGA
rnacentral:rRNA from 1 species